GCGAAAUUAAUGGAGAAGAGGGCCGACCAGCUUCGGGAAAAGGAGAGUUAGGGAAUUUUGGAAUUAAUUGGUGUUCAAAAUACCCAGUUCCUAUAAAACGCUUUACUUCGCAACGGGAGCACAAAAGAGGCAGGAAUCAGUCGAUUACAGAUAAGAGAAUUGUCAUCGGUAUUAGGUUCGUUCAACGGAGUUGGGUCCAAAUCGUCGAGUCAUGAUAGCAAGUACAGAGCUCUCCCGAACCUAGGUCCUGG